GGCCUCGAAGCUCAGUUGGUAAGAGCGUUGGCUGUACUAAAGCCUACCCCUUGCUGGUGCGGGUUCGAAUCCCACCGAGGCCA
rfam:Schistocephalus solidus strain NST_G2 genome assembly, scaffold: SSLN_scaffold0000414